GUGCUCAUUUUGGCAGCACACAUACUAAAAUUGGAACAAUGGACAGUAGAUUAGCAUGAUCCCUGGACCAGGAUGACAUGCAAAUUCAUAAAGCAGUCCAUAUUUUU